rnacentral:rRNA from 1 species
GUAACACGUAUCCAACCUGCCGUCUACUCUUGGACAGCCUUCUGAAAGGAAGAUUAAUACAAGAUGGCAUCAUGAGUCCGCAUGUUCACAUGAUUAAAGGUAUUCCGGUAGACGAUGGGGAUGCGUUCCAUUAGAUAGUAGGCGGGGUAACGGCCCACCUAGUCUUCGAUGGAUAGGGGUUCUGAGAGGAAGGUCCCCCACAUUGGAACUGAGACACGGUCCAAACUCCUACGGGAGGCAGCAUG